ACUUCUUUGUCUGUUUCUUUUUCUUCUUUUUCUUUCUGCUCUUUCCCUUUCUCUUUCUUCUCUUCACCAGACAGGGAAGGAAGA
rnacentral:ribozyme from 13 species